rnacentral:miRNA from 22 species
AAGUAAAUCGACGAAUUCUGAAAGGGGAAUGCUGUACACUCUAUGUGCUAAAAAUAUCCAUAAGCGUAUAGCUUUUCCCAUUUAGCGUUCGUUGCGAGCAAA